rnacentral:rRNA from 1 species
AUUGAACGCUGGCGGCAUGCCUUACACAUGCCAGUCGAACGGUAACGGGCCUUCGGGUGCCGACGAGUGGCGAACGGGUGAGUAAUACAUCGGAACGUGCCCGAUCGUGGGGGAUAACGAGGCGAAAGCUUUGCUAAUACCGCAUACGAUCUACGGAGGAAAGCAGGGGACCGCAAGGCCUUGCGCGGACGGAGCGGCCGAUGGCAGAUUAGGUAGUUGGUGGGAUAAAAGCUUACCAAGGCGACGAUCUGUAGCUGGUCUGAGAGGAUGAUCAGCCACACUGGGACUGAGACACGGCCCAGACUCCUACGGGAGGCAGCAGUGGGGAAUUUUGGACAAUGGGCGCAAGCCUGAUCCAGCCAUGCCGCGUGCAGGAUGAAGGCCUUCGGGUUGUAAACUGCUUUUGUACGGAACGAAAAGCCUUCUUUUAAUACAGGAGGGUCAUGACGGUACCGUAAGAAUAAGCACCGGCUAACUACGUG